UGAGAACAGAGCCCUUAACAUCGCUUUCAUGCCAAAUAAAGAUCAAGGCCAUAAAGGGUUGGAAACUAAUUUCAUUCUCGUUGUGGAUAGUGGACUGUUUCUGCCGAAUAUUAUGGUUAUAGGAAGUAUUAUUGGGGCGACUACUAAUGUGUAACAAAAGCUGUUAGAAUUCCCCUACACAGAAUAAUUUCAUUCGUUCUGUGAAUGGCAUCGAAGCAUUCACUGAAACCAUGACCGAAAGACAAAGACACGCUGAUUUACAGGCUAUCAGUGCCGUAAACGUCAAAGUUCAAAGCCAAAAUGGACGAAGAUGGAAAUUCAUGGACUGCUUUCUAACUUGGCGGUUCUUAAGAUCUUAAAAGAAAAGUUAUUUUUUGGAACUAUAUUCUUAUUAAACAAUAUUCCUAUUCCUCGCACAUGUCCUCGCAUUGCUUUUUAGUUUUAAAACGAUUUCUGUUCCCGCCACAUCCGCCGUAUAUGAACUCUCUGCACUCCUUCGUCUUGGGAUCGUAGGUAAAAUUUGGUAUG